rnacentral:rRNA from 1 species
AUUGAACGCUGGCGGCAGGCCUAACACAUGCAAGUCGAGCGGAUGAAGGGAGCUUGCUCCUGGAUUCAGCGGCGGACGGGUGAGUAAUGCCUAGGAAUCUGCCUGGUAGUGGGGGAUAACGUCCGGAAACGGGCGCUAAUACCGCAUACGUCCUGAGGGAGAAAGUGGGGGAUCUUCGGACCUCACGCUAUCAGAUGAGCCUAGGUCGGAUUAGCUAGUUGGUGGGGUAAAGGCCUACCAAGGCGACGAUCCGUAACUGGUCUGAGAGGAUGAUCAGUCACACUGGAACUGAGACACGGUCCAGACUCCUACGGGAGGCAGUAGUGGGGAAUAUUGGACAAAGGGCGAAAGCCUGAUCCAGCCAUGCCGCGUGUGUGAAGAAGGUCUUCGGAUUGUAAAGCACUUUAAGUUGGGAGGAAGGGCAGUAAGUUAAUACCUUGCUGUUUUGACGUUACCAACAGAAUAAGCACCGGCUAACUUCGUG